rnacentral:rRNA from 1 species
UACGGAGGGUGCAAGCGUUAUCCGGAUUUAUUGGGUUUAAAGGGUCCGUAGGCGGACUCGUAAGUCAGUGGUGAAAUCUCAUAGGCUUAACUACUGAAACUGCCAAUUGAUACUGCGGGUCUUGAGUAAAGUAGAAGUGGCUGGAAUGAAGUAGUGUAGCGGUGAAAUGCAUAGAUAUUACUUAGAACACCAAUUGCGAAGGCAGGUCACUAUGUUUUAACUGACGCUGAUGGACGAAAGCGUGGGGAGCGAACAGG